GGUGGGACUAAGCCAUGCGAGUCGUGCGCCCCGGGCUACGACGGGGCGCGGCGGACGGCUCAGUAAAACGCGGCUAACCUACCCUCGAGACGGGGAUAACCCCGGGAAACUGGGGCUAAUCCCCGAUAGGUGAGGGGCUCUGGAACGCCCCCUCACCCAAAGGGACACGGGAUCAUGCCUCCCGUGUCCGCUCGAGGAUGGGGCCGCGGCCUAUCAGGUAGAUGGUGGGGUAACGGCCCACCAUGCCGAAGACGGGUACGGGCCGUGAGAGCGGGAGCCCGGAGAUGGGCACUGAGACAAGGGCCCAGGCCCUACGGGGCGCAGCAGGCGCGAAACCUCCGCAAUGCGGGAAACCGCGACGGGGUCACCCCGAGUGCCACCCGCUGAGGGUGGCUUUUCCCCGCUGUAAAAAGGCGGGGGUAAUAAGCGGGGGGCAAGCCUGGUGUCAGCCGCCGCGGUAAUACCAGCCCCGCGAGUGGUCGGGACGUUUAUUGGGCCUAAAGCGUCCGUAGCCGGCCCGGUGUGUCUCUCCUUAAAUCCCACGGCUCAACCGUGGGGCUGGGAGAGAUACUACCGGGCUAGGGGGCGGGAGAGGCCGGGGGUACUCCCGGGGUAGGGGCGAAAUCCUAUAAUCCCGGGAGGACCACCAGUGGCGGAGGCGCCCGGCCAGAACGCGCCCGACGGUGAGGGACGAAAGCCAGGGGAGCAAAGGGGAUUAGAGACCCCCGUAGUCCUGGCCGUAAACGAUGCGGGCUAAGUGUUGGCCGAGCUGCGGGCUCGGCCAGUGCUGCAGGGAAGCCGUUAAGCCCGCCGCCUGGGGAGUACGGCCGCAAGGCGUGAACUUAGAGGAAUA
rnacentral:rRNA from 1 species